AACGAACGCUGGCGGCAUGCCUAACACAUGCAAGUCGAACGGGAUCCUAGCUUGCUAGGUGAGAGUGGCGGACGGGUGAGUAACACGUGGGAAUCUGCCUUUUGGUUCGGGAUAACCGCGGGAAACUGCGGCUAAUACCGAAUGCCCUCGAGAGAGGAAAGAUUUAUCGCCAGAAGAGGAGCCCGCGUCCGAUUAGGUAGUUGGUGGGGUAAAGGCCUACCAAGCCGACGAUCGGUAGCUGGUCUGAGAGGAUGAUCAGCCUCACUGGGACUGAGAUACGGCCCAGACUCCUACGGGAGGCAGCAGUGGGGAAUAUUGGACAAUGGGGGCAACCCUGAUCCAGCAAUGCCGCGUGAGUGAUGAAGGCCUUAGGGUGUAAAGUCUCUUUUGCCGAGGGAAGAUGAUGACUGUACCUGGAGAAUAAGCCCCGGCUAACUUCGUGCCAGCAGCCGCGGUAA
rnacentral:rRNA from 1 species